AGGAAAUUUGAGAGGAUCUGCUCCUAGUACGAGAGGACCAGAGUGGACUUACCGCUGGUGUACCAGUUGUCUUGCCAGAGGCAUCGCUGGGUAGCUAUGUAGGGAAGGGAUAAGCGCUGAAAGCAUCUAAGUGCGAAGCCCCCCUCAAGAUGAGAUUUCCCAUGAUUUUAUAUCAGUAAGAGCCCUGAGAGAUGAUCAGGUAGAUAGGUUAGAAGUGGAAGUAUAGCGAUAUAUGAAGCGGACUAAUACUAAUAGCUCGAGGACUUAUCCUA
rnacentral:rRNA from 1 species